UACAGAGGGUGCAAGCGUUAAUCGGAAUUAUUGGGCGUAAAGGGCUUGUAGGCGGUAGAUUAAGUUAGAUGUGAAACCCUGGGCUCAACCUGGGGCUGGCAUUUAAUACUGGUUACUAGAGUAUAGGAGAGGAGAAGGGAAUUUCUGGUGUAGGCGGUGAAAUGCGUAGAUAUCAGAAGGAACAUCAGUGGCGAAGGCGCUUCUCUGGCCUAAUACUGACGCUGAGGAGCGAAGGCGUGGGGAUCAAACAGG
rnacentral:rRNA from 1 species